rnacentral:rRNA from 1 species
UGUGUAGGCGGGACGGUAAGUCAGAUGUGAAAUCCGGGGGCUCAACCCCCGGCCUGCAUUUGAAACUGCUGUUCUUGAGUGUCGGAGAGGUAAACGGAAUUCCCAGUGUAGCGGUGAAAUGCGUAGAUAUUGGGAGGAACACCAGUGGCGAAGGCGGUUUACUGGACGACAACUGACGCUGAGACACGAAAGCGUGGGGAGCAAACA